CACACCGCCCGUCACACCAGAAAGUUUGUUGUACCUGAAGUCGUUGACGCCAACCGCAAGGAGGCAGACGCCCACGGUAUGACCGAUGAUUGGAGUG
rnacentral:rRNA from 1 species